CUUAAUGGACUUUAAUGGCCUUGAGCUGCAGCCGAAGAAUUCUUCUGCUUUCCGUCCACUGUGCCAUCGAGCUGGUAAACAAAUACCCUGCUGGCCCAUGAAGGCCAUUUGCUUGCUAGCCAUUCAAGGAGGGGGAUGUUCUGGCUUUAGGAUAGAUUUAGGGGAGCAAGCCGGUGACCACUGCGCCCUCCAGUGAUCUCUGAUGAUAUGCGGGGAUAAUGGGUUACAAAGACAGACAUUAAUAAGUUUCUGUAGAAGUGUAUGUUUUGGUGGACGGCGUUCCUGGAAGAGAGAUCUUAUACUUGCGAAGUGCAUCCUAAGUAAGAGCCUUCAACAAAAGUUUCAUGAGAAGAAAGAAAGCUGAAGAGGAACUGGUGGCUGGACGGCCCUUAUGACUUUGCCAAUUUUCUCUUCUCGCUGCCUGUCUUCCUCCCCAAAUAUGGAGCUAAAUUAGAAGCAUUGGGAACGUGUUAGGAGAAGAUGCAAAAUGCGGUAAUCCUGCUAAGGUUGGAGAAAUCCUGACUGAGUUGCAGCAAGAAAACAGCUUGUUAAACACCAGCCGGGCAGAAGUUUUCGUCUCAUUGGAACGCUACUUACUCAAUGCUUGAACAGCUCUUGGAACAGCAGGAACCUGGGAGUGUCUCUGGAUAC